GAUGAAGAACGUAGUGAAAUGCGAUACGUAAUGUGAAUUGCAGAAUUCAGUGAAUCAUCGAGUCUUUGAACGCACAUUGCGCCCCCUGGUAUUCCGGGGGGCAUGCCUGUCCGAGCGUCAUUGCUGCCCUCAAGCACGGCUUGUGUGUUGGGCCUCCGUCCUCCUCCCGGGGGACGGGCCCGAAAGGCAGCGGCGGCACCGCGUCCGGUCCUCGAGCGUAUGGGGCUUCGUCACCCGCUCUUGUAGGCCCGGCCGGCGCUUGCCGACACAUCAAUCUUUUUUCCAGGUUGACCUCGGAUCAGGUAGGGAUACCCGCUGAACUUAAGCAUAUCAAUAAGCGGAGA
rnacentral:misc_RNA from 1 species